GGAAAGGUGGCAGAGUGGUCGAAUGCGCCGGACUCGAAAUCCGGUUCGCGGGUUCUCCCGCGACGAGGGUUCGAAUCCCUCCCUUUCCGCCA
rnacentral:tRNA from 1 species